GAUUUUUGUACCUAAUUUUAAAGUUCCUUUCUUAUGAAUCUUGAAUAGCUGCAUGCUAAAAUCCUUCAGCUAUGUUCAGCAGAUUUCGCUAACUACAAAACGCAUGUUCCUAAAGGGACUUUUUUGUUUGUUUUUUUUUUCACGUGCAUACUGGUCAUCGAAACAGACCACCCUAAUCAUUCAUAUCCCAUCACUCCCAUUUAGGAAGAAGGAAAGUGGCCGUCACUAGUUUUAGCAUGUAUUAAAAUAAAAUUUGCAGUAUCAAACUACCGCUUUUCAUCAGAGUAUGAACAUGCUUUUGUAAAGACUUAGCAUCAAGCUUAGUAACUUUAUUGACAGAAUUUUCCUGUAAAUAUUGUACAAACCAACCAAAAAUACUCGGAGCUCAAAUACUUUUGUAAAUACAUUAAGGAAAAUUAUUAAGUGAUGCCGUGAUAUGUGGAACCUGUCGAGAAAUAAACCAACUUCGUUAAAGUUGGCCAAUUAACUUUGUUUUACAGACCAGAUGGCAAUGAACAAUACCUGUAAGGGUGGAUUUUCAUGGAUUUUUCGAUGACCGACAUCGAAAACGACUUACGAUGCUCGUGGUCAAACUUCGCCAAAAACUUCAAUUUUUCAAUCAGAUGAAGUCCGAAAAUAAAUUAUAUUAACGUUAGAGAGCAACACAAGCAGUAAAAAACAAACAGCCAUUGCUGGUAUGUCGUGAAAAUACGAUUUUCCGACUUUUUAUUUUCGAUGCACAAGCAUCUUGAAAUGACCGACAUCAAAAGCAUACUCACGACCAUGCUUUGCUAAAAUGUCAGAGCAUCGAAACGCGAUGCUCGUCCGCAGCGAAGUCAUGCCACCACAGCACCAAGGACACAAACCCAAACUAACGCUUUGUAACUGUUGGGAACGAGUGGGAAAUGAAACUUGACGAUGUUUGACGAAACAAAUUUUGAAAGAUCUGUCAAAGUAGGCCCUGUCAAAUCAGCUGAUUUUGCUGCUGUCAGAAAGUUUUCAAGUCCAUCUUUUCAAUAUUUUUUUUUUAAAUCAAAUAAAAAUAGAAUUAUAAGAUGUGCAAAUAUGUAAUUUAAAAACAUAGAUAAUCAUCUCCAAACCAUUGAAGUGGUCGCUUUAGCCGAAUUUCCAUUCAGAACAUCGGCACCAUCACCUUCGAGAGCAGAUUCCGUUUCGUUUGGGUGAGUGAUCUCCUUGGUGAUCUCAAAAUGCCGCAAAAAAUGCCAACACCGUCGGAGAAGCACCAGAAACGGAAGCGAAGCGCUCAAGCUGAGUUACUUUUGAGUUUCGGAAGCAGCUUUUGGGUCGAACAAAAGUCGAUUCAAGAUUGACAGCAACGGUAAUAAUACAUUGGAUUACGCUCAGUGACGAAAUUCUGAGGCUGAAGGAGGAAGAAGUGUUUGCGAAGAUGAAAAGAAAGAGGGACAAGAAAAAGAAGAACCGGAAACGUCACACCGGAAAUGUUUCAACGAUGACACUCGACGCUGGAGUGAAAGGAAGUAAUAAAGAAGGCAAAAGUGUAAUAUGUUGUAAAAAUAUACAUUAAGAAAGAUAAGUAUGAGAUAAACUUAAAAAUAAAACCAAUAAAAUUGUAA